rnacentral:lncRNA from 1 species
GUUAUCACAAAACCAUAGUAUUAAGCAUUCAAGUGUUUUUUGGUAACUUUUAAUUUCUUCAUUUCCAGUGUUCUGCCAAAGCUGCCCACAGUCUGUUGUUCCUGUCCUAUAUAGAAAAAUAGAGCUCUGUCCAGCUAAAUCAAGAUCGCUACUUUUCCCUCUUCCCUGGAGAAACCUGAGGAAGAAAAGUGUAUUUUUCCUCUGGAAAGCUGCUCCCAACUCUGGUUAGCUGGAGGCCCACAUUUGAAUGGCUGAAUGCUGCAGAAUCUUGGAAGGGCCUGUGUGCAGAGUAAACCACAUAACAGGUGAGGAACAAGGUGUGUGAUAUCAAACCAUCAGCUUGGUUUCCACUUUCCUGCCAGAU